GACGAACGCUGGCGGCGUGCCUAAUACAUGCAAGUCGAACGAGAGCACCCGGUGCUUGCCCUGGUCAAUCUAGUGGCGAACGGGUGAGUAACACGUGGGUAACCUGCCCAUCAGAGGGGGAUAACAUCCGGAAACGGAUGCUAAAACCGCGUAGGUCUUCGAACCGCAUGGUUUGAAGAGGAAAAGAGGCGCAAGCUUCUGCUGAUGGAUGGACCCGCGGUGCAUUAGCUAGUUGGUGAGGUAACGGCUCACCAAGGCCGUGAUGCAUAGCCGACCUGAGAGGGUGAUCGGCCACAUUGGGACUGAGACACGGCCCAAACUCCUACGGGAGGCAGCAGUAGGGAAUCUUCCGCAAUGGACGCAAGUCUGACGGAGCAACGCCGCGUGAGUGAAGAAGGUUUUCGGAUCGUAAAACUCUGUUGUUAGAGAAGAACAAGUGCUAGAGUAACUGUUAGCGCCUUGACGGUAUCUAACCAGAAAGCCACGGCUAACUACGUG
rnacentral:rRNA from 1 species